rnacentral:tRNA from 1 species
GAUUGCGUAGCUCAGUUGGAUAGAGCACGAGCCUUCUAAGCUUGUGGUCGGAGGUUCGAAUCCUCUCGCGAUCGCCA